GGGAGGAGUUUGUUGGUGAAAAUGUGGCUUUUUGCGAAUGCCACUGCAAGUAGAACAAAUUUUUGAGUCACUGGCUUUGACUGUUGGAUAUAAUGUAAUGUUGUCGGCAUAGCGCGGGUUUCUUGUGUUAGUAGAACUCCACGAAUGAUGCAAUUUAGAAUGUGUUGAUGGCAAGCUAGCCUAGCUAGGUUUCUCCAAUCUUUC
rnacentral:misc_RNA from 1 species